rnacentral:rRNA from 1 species
AUCGAACGCUGGCGGCAGGCCUAACACAUGCAAGUCGAACGUGUGGCGGACGGGUGUGUUAUGUCUGUGAAACUGCCUGAUGGAGGGGGAUAACUACUGGAACCGGUAGCUAAUACCGCAUACCAUCAGAUGUGCCCAGAUGGGCUUGGCUUGUUGGUGGGGUAUAGUCUCACCAAGGCGACGAUCCCUAGCUGGUCUGAGAGGAUGACAAGCCAACCGGGAACUGAGACACGGGCAAGACUCCAACGGGAGGCAGCAGUGGGGAAUAUUGCACAAUGGGCGAAAGCCUGAUAGAGCCAUGCCGCGUGUAUGAAGAAGGCCUGCGGGUUGUAAAGUACUUUCAGCGGGGAGGCGGUACCCGCAGAAGAAGCACCGGCUAACUCCGUGCCAGCAGCCGCGGUAAUAC